rnacentral:rRNA from 1 species
GGGUUGUGAGGUUAAGCGACUAAGCGUACACGGUGGAUGCCCUGGCAGUCAGAGGCGAUGAAGGACGUGCUAAUCUGCGAAAAGCGUCGGUAAGGUGAUAUGAACCGUUAUAACCGGCGAUGUCCGAAUGGGGAAACCCAGUGCAAUUCGUUGCACUAUCGUUAACUGAAUACAUAGGUUAACGAGGCGAACCGGGGGAACUGAAACAUCUAAGUACCCCGAGGAAAAGAAAUCAACCGAGAUUCCCCCAGUAGCGGCGAGCGAACGGGGAGCAGCCCAGAGUCUGAAUCAGCUUGUGUGUUAGUGGAACGGUCUGGAAAGUCCGACGGUACAGGGUGAUAGUCCCGUACACCAAAAUGCACAGGCUGUGAACUCGAAGAGUAGGGCGGGACACGUGGUAUCCUGUCUGAAUAUGGGGGGACCAUCCUCCAAGGCUAAAUACUCCUGACUGACCGAUAGUGAACCAGUACCGUGAGGGAAAGGCGAAAAGAACCCCGGCGAGGGGAGUGAAAAAGAACCUGAAACCGUGUACGUACAAGCAGUGGGAGCACCUUCGGGUGUGACUGCGUACCUUUUGUAUAAUGGGUCAGCGACUUAUAUUCUGUAGCAAGGUUAACCGUAUAGGGGAGCCGCAGGGAAACCGAGUCUUAACUGGGCGUUAAGUUGCAGGGUAUAGACCCGAAACCCGGUGAUCUAGCCAUGGGCAGGUUGAAGGUUGGGUAACACUAACUGGAGGACCGAACCGACUAAUGUUGAAAAAUUAGCGGAUGACUUGUGGCUGGGGGUGAAAGGCCAAUCAAACCGGGAGAUAGCUGGUUCUCCCCGAAAGCUAUUUAGGUAGCGCCUCGUGAAUUCAUCUUCGGGGGUAGAGCACUGUUUCGGCUAGGGGGUCAUCCCGACUUACCAACCCGAUGCAAACUACGAAUACCGAAGAAUGUUAUCACGGGAGACACACGGCGGGUGCUAACGUCCGUCGUGAAGAGGGAAACAACCCAGACCGCCAGCUAAGGUCCCAAAGUCAUGGUUAAGUGGGAAACGAUGUGGGAAGGCACAGACAGCCAGGAUGUUGGCUUAGAAGCAGCCAUCAUUUAAAGAAAGCGUAAUAGCUCACUGGUCGAGUCGGCCUGCGCGGAAGAUGUAACGGGGCUAAACCAUGCACCGAAGCUGCGGCAGCGACACUAUGUGUUGUUGGGUAGGGGAGCGUUCUGUAAGCCUGCGAAGGUGUGCUGUGAGGCAUGCUGGAGGUAUCAGAAGUGCGAAUGCUGACAUAAGUAACGAUAAAGCGGGUGAAAAGCCCGCUCGCCGGAAGACCAAGGGUUCCUGUCCAACGUUAAUCGGGGCAGGGUGAGUCGACCCCUAAGGCGAGGCCGAAAGGCGUAGUCGAUGGGAAACAGGUUAAUAUUCCUGUACUUGGUGUUACUGCGAAGGGGGGACGGAGAAGGCUAUGUUAGCCGGGCGACGGUUGUCCCGGUUUAAGCAUGUAGGCUGGUUAUCCAGGCAAAUCCGGAUAAUCAAGGCUGAGGUGUGAUGACGAGGCACUACGGUGCUGAAGUAACAAAUGCCCUGCUUCCAGGAAAAGCCUCUAAGCAUCAGGUAACAUCAAAUCGUACCCCAAACCGACACAGGUGGUCAGGUAGAGAAUACCAAGGCGCUUGAGAGAACUCGGGUGAAGGAACUAGGCAAAAUGGUGCCGUAACUUCGGGAGAAGGCACGCUGGUGUGUAGGUGAAGCCCCUGCGGGUGGAGCUGAGACCAGUCGAAGAUACCAGCUGGCUGCAACUGUUUAUUAAAAACACAGCACUGUGCAAACACGAAAGUGGACGUAUACGGUGUGACGCCUGCCCGGUGCCGGAAGGUUAAUUGAUGGGGUUAUCCGUAAGGAGAAGCUCUUGAUCGAAGCCCCGGUAAACGGCGGCCGUAACUAUAACGGUCCUAAGGUAGCGAAAUUCCUUGUCGGGUAAGUUCCGACCUGCACGAAUGGCGUAAUGAUGGCCAGGCUGUCUCCACCCGAGACUCAGUGAAAUUGAACUCGCUGUGAAGAUGCAGUGUACCCGCGGCAAGACGGAAAGACCCCGUGAACCUUUACUAUAGCUUGACACUGAACAUUGAGCCUUGAUGUGUAGGAUAGGUGGGAGGCUUUGAAGCGUGGACGCCAGUCUGCGUGGAGCCAACCUUGAAAUACCACCCUUUAAUGUUUGAUGUUCUAACGUUGGCCCCUUACCGGGGUUGCGGACAGUGUCUGGUGGGUAGUUUGACUGGGGCGGUCUCCUCCCAAAGCGUAACGGAGGAGCACGAAGGUUAGCUAAUCCUGGUCGGACAUCAGGAGGUUAGUGCAAUGGCAUAAGCUAGCUUGACUGCGAGCGUGACGGCGCGAGCAGGUGCGAAAGCAGGUCAUAGUGAUCCGGUGGUUCUGAAUGGAAGGGCCAUCGCUCAACGGAUAAAAGGUACUCCGGGGAUAACAGGCUGAUACCGCCCAAGAGUUCAUAUCGACGGCGGUGUUUGGCACCUCGAUGUCGGCUCAUCACAUCCUGGGGCUGAAGUAGGUCCCAAGGGUAUGGCUGUUCGCCAUUUAAAGUGGUACGCGAGCUGGGUUUAGAACGUCGUGAGACAGUUCGGUCCCUAUCUGCCGUGGGCGCUGGAGAAUUGAGGGGGGCUGCUCCUAGUACGAGAGGACCGGAGUGGACGCAUCACUGGUGUUCGGGUUGUCAUGCCAAUGGCACUGCCCGGUAGCUAAAUGCGGAAGAGAUAAGUGCUGAAAGCAUCUAAGCACGAAACUUGCCCCGAGAUGAGUUCUCCCUGAGACUUUAAGUCUCCUGAAGGAACGUUAAAGACGAUGACGUUGAUAGGCCGGGUGUGUAAGCGCAGCGAUGCGUUGAGCUAACCGGUACUAAUGAACCGUGAGGCUUAACCUUACAACGCCGAAG